UGGGGAAUAUUGGACAAUGGGCGCAAGCCUGAUCCAGCCAUACCGCGUGGGUGAAGAAGGCCUUCGGGUUGUAAAGCCCUUUUGUUGGGAAAGAAAAGCAGUCGGUUAAUACCCGAUUGUUCUGACGGUACCCAAAGAAUAAGCACCGGCUAACUUCGUGCCAGCAGCCGCGGUAAUACGAAGGGUGCAAGCGUUACUCGGAAUUACUGGGCGUAAAGCGUGCGUAGGUGGUUGUUUAAGUCUGUCGUGAAAGCCCUGGGCUCAACCUGGGAAUUGCGAUGGAAACUGGGCGACUAGAGUGUGGCAGAGGGUAGUGGAAUUCCUGGUGUAGCAGUGAAAUGCGUAGAGAUCAGGAGGAACAUCCGUGGCGAAGGCGACUGCCUGGGCCAACACUGACACUGAGGCACGAAAGCGUGGGGAGCAAACAGG
rnacentral:rRNA from 3 species